UUUGUCUACAUUUAUGUGUGAGGAUGCCAGAUCCCCGCCCCCCCCCUUUUUUGAGACAAGGUCUCUCUAUUAUGGUCCUGAAACUCACCAUGUUGACCAGGUGGGUUUCAAACUAGGAUCUACCUUGCCUCUGACUGCCACCACACCCAGCUUGGAAGAUCGUCUUGGUAAAAUUCUUUCUUUUUUAGACAAGGUCUCUUGUGUCUCGGGUUGAGCUAACCCUAAGUAGCUGAGGGUAAUCUCGAACUUCUGAUUCCCAUGCCUCAAUCCCAAGUACCGAGGUUAUAGGUGUGCAUCACCUUGACCUGUGUAUGUCUUGCUGGGCAUCAAACCAGGCUUCAGUUAUGUUAGACAAGCUCUCUACCAACCGAGCUACCCCUCCAGCCCUUUUCUGUUCUGUCUUAUCUCAAGUGUUGAGGAUUCCAUGUAUCCUGGGAUCCCUGGUCUCUGCCUCCAGCUGCUGGGGUCACAGAGGUCACCUCUGGAGGUCUAGGGUGGAAGGAGACUUUGGUUGGCUGUAAAUCACGGAUUUAGUGGAUGGACAUCUGAAGAAAUGCAGCCAUGGAUUCAAAUUUAACCCCACCCACCCCCGCCGCCCCAUUAAUUGGUCCCAGGUUGCUCUCCUAGGAAGGAGAAACGCAGGGAGCCACUUCUGCCAGCAGAGGGCGCAAGAGGACUGCGCCCCCCAAGCGAGGGACAAAGACGGCGGGGGAGCCUUCAUGGAGCUUGUGGGAGAAUCGAAAGGGUCAAUUGUAAUCACCGCACUCAGGAGGCUGGGGCAAGAAGAUAGCGAGCAUGAGACUAGCCUGCUAGUGAAACCUUGUCUUAAAAACAAACCAAGUCGUCGGGCAGUGGUGGCGCACGUCUUUAAUCCCAGCACUCGGGAGGCAGAGGCCAGACUGUCUACAGAAUGUCCGCUGAGCAGUGGUAGCACACACCUUUAAUCUCAGCACUGGGGAAGCAGAGGCAGAGGCAGGUGGAUCUCUGAGUUCAAGACCAGCCCAGGCCACAGAGGGAGUUCCAGGACAGGCAGGGCUACAAAGAGAAACCCUGUCUCAAAAAGAGGGGGGUGGGGGAGAAGAGGAUAGAGAGACAGAGCGAACCACAGGUAUCUUAGCUUUGGUAACUCCUUAGAGGCAUCCAGUCGUUUUGUCGUUUUACAAACGGAUGCCAACAACCCCCCACCCCAGCCCUGGAUAAUUAAAUCAGGAUGUGUCUGCAGGUGAAGGCGGGCAGGGCUUAGGUGUUUUCAGACACCCUUGAGGAAAAGCUUCACCGCAAAGCCCUGGGUGGCAGUCGGCCUAGGAAGAUGGCUUCCUGGGAAUGAGGACUCACCUGUCGGGGUGAGUCACACCUUUUCUAAGUGGCAUGCCAGCAUCCAUCAACACUUGACCAAGUGGCAGGUGUGAGGGUGUGAACCGGCCUUUCCCUGUGGGCUUCAUUUGUUUUUUUCUCUUUUCCCACCUUACUAAGGAGGCUGGGGGCGGGAGCUGGGGGCUUGGGGGGGGUGCUGCCGAAACAAAGGAUGAAAGGAAGCCUAGCCAGGUGUAGAUGGGAGAGAGAACAGGAAGCAGAGGGUGGAAGGCAGGUGCCAAGGUCCUGUGGUAGGAAAGCCCUGGCCAUUUGUGCCUAGAGGGGGGAGAAAGGUCAAGACCUGGUGAUCUGAACCGUCAGUUGAGACAAGCAAGGAGGGGUGGGGGGCUGUCUUCUCCCUCCAGACUCAAGCAGGGAUGUGCGGAAGAACAGAGUGCUCUGCGCGUUGGCCGUGUCACCAGUGCUGGGAGGACGAUUCUGUCCACGGUUGUCACCUCCAGCGCCUGCAGACUCAGUUGUUCUGCUGGCGUGGGCUCCGAGGUUUUACAGGUGUUUGUAACCCCAUACUGUGGGGUGUGGGCUUGACUUCCGGGGCCACCCUGGUGCCAGGCGGUACCCUUCUUUCCUGAG
rnacentral:lncRNA from 1 species